ensembl:lncRNA
AUGGGGAGAGGAUCUGAGCAAGGAUCUAUACUCAGGAUCAGAUUGAUUGAAGAUGAAGAACAGUUUUGUGUUGCUCCUGUGAGAUGGCUUGAGGCUAUCUAUGAAUUUCAGAAAAUCUGUCAUAUCCACUCUUCUCUUGUGGUUAGGCACAAGAGCGUCAGGACAGAUGAGAUCAUACCCUGUGCAUCAUCUUCUUACUCAUUACUGAUAGGUAAGGAAGGAAGAUAUUCAAUAAGGAAAAUUCCUCUUUUGAAAAGUUAUUUUUUUCUAAGACUUCUGAACACAAAUAUGGUCAAGGGAAAGAAACUUAAUUUUUCUGUUUGCUCCCAGACUCCCAAUUUGGCUGCACCCAUAUCAAAGCAGCCUAAUUUAAGGACAGGCUAAAUAAUUUUGUAGUAUUAUGGCUCUUCAAAACUACUUAGAAGCUUGAUUAUUUUAUUAAGAAAUGGGAGACAUUCAUAAGACUGGUUUGAUUAUGACUGUCUGUAAGAUAUUGUGGAUAGGGAUUAUGAGUUAACAGAGAAUGAUAGAGUUCUUGGGAGGGAGGAAGGAGAAGCAGAGAGAGGGGGAGGGAGGGAGGGAGAGAGAAAGAGAGAGAAGAGAUUCUGGUGGUUAAAAUAAUGGAAAAUUGUUCCUUCCUUUCCCUUUUUAUAUCUUUCUCUCUCCUGUUUAUUGACGUUGAGUUAAACAAAUAGUAAAACUUUCCUGAAUUAAACUUUUGAUGCUAAACUUUGAUUAAGAUAUUUUUAAGUAUCACUCUACAUGUGAAGACAAUUGUGGAAUAACCCAAUGUGUUUCCAUGUAGAGAUAAACAAGUUCAACAAAUUCUCUUCAUGACAAAGCCAUGAAUCAGCAUUGACCACUAAGGGAGCAAAAGGCCUGAUAGAAAAAUAAGCCUGAUGCAAAAGUAAUGCUAUGCUAAGAGUGAUUCUCUCUUCUGCUGGGGCUAGAGAGAAAAUGGAGCUUAUAAGUGUUUACUAGACCAUGUUUGGUUUUUUCUGAUGUCUACCACCAAAUAAAAAUAUACACUGAGAUCA